UGGGGAAUUUUGGACAAUGGGGGCAACCCUGAUCCAGCAAUGCCGCGUGUGUGAAGAAGGCCUUCGGGUUGUAAAGCACUUUUGUCCGGGAAGAAAUCGCACCUGAUAAUACCGGGUGUGGAUGACGGUACCGGAAGAAUAAGCACCGGCUAACUACGUGCCAGCAGCCGCGGUAAUACGUAGGGUCCAAGCGUUAAUCGGAAUUACUGGGCGUAAAGCGUGCGCAGGCGGUUGUGCAAGACCGAUGUGAAAUCCCCGGGCUAAACCUGGGAAUUGCAUUGGUGACUGCACGGCUAGAGUGUGUCAGAGGGGGGUAGAAUUCCACGUGUAGCAGUGAAAUGCGUAGAGAUGUGGAGGAAUACCGAUGGCGAAGGCAGCCCCCUGGGAUAACACUGACGCUCAUGCACGAAAGCGUGGGGAGCAAACAGG
rnacentral:rRNA from 1 species